AUAAAACAGGUUGAAAAUAAUUGUUGUCAUGUUAUUAGCCUAUUCUGUUGAUAUUUACAAUAAAUUGUACGCUUACUAACUUUGUUCACGUUGAGGAAUGUUUGUAAUGGUGUGAGGUUAGAUGUCUAAAUAUUUUCAGACAGGCAAGCAAAGUGGGCGAACCUAUGGCCCCCACGCAGCAGCUUGCUAUGUGCUAAAGAGCUACUGUGUUGAGUAGCCACAGCGCUGCCUGUUUAGUAGAUGCUUUUAUCUUGAGAGCGGGAUAUAGGCUGCUUAAGCUGCUGUUAGUCGAGGUGCAUGCGUCUCUCUCCCCCCUCCCCCCAUACAUUUACCGCUGGGUCCGGUGUCGGCCAAGUGCCAUGUACUGUGCAGGGUAUGGCAGGCCGUUUUAACAUUUAUUAGCUUGACUGAAUAUGUAUACCAGACAUCUCAAAUACAUUCCUUCCUAGUCAAAAUUUACAUUUCAGACAUCUACAAUAACAUUUGUCCUAUCUAAAAUGAAUAUUUCAGAUAUCUUGAAUAUAAUUCAAAGUAGUACAAAUUACGUCACUUUCCCCAUUCAUGUGUAUAGGGCUUUUAUUUACAGACAUCUACAAUAACAUUCUUCCAAUCUAAAAUAAACAUUCCAGAUGUCUAAAACUGAAUUCCGACUAGGAUGAAAUCUAAUUUCAGAUCUCCAUAAUCCAGUCAAUACUAGUCAUCAUCAUUUCAGAUAUAAAAAAUAAAUAAAACAUUCUAGAUAUCCAGAUAUAUAAUUCUUGACAUCAAAAAUAUAUUUCUACUAGUAGAAAUGACAUUACAUAUAUCCACUACUGAUUAUAUGACAAAUUAAAUUGGAAUUUCAGAUAUCUAAAAUUUCAAUAUGCCUAUACAAGGUUGUGUUGUGAAUUGGCACUAUAUAAAUAACAUUUAAAUAAAUUGAAUUGAACUUCUGGUCACAAAAAACCAAAACUUUUAAAAUAAGAUUAUAGAAUUGUUACAUUACAGUUAAUCUUUCUCCUCUUCCCAUCUCUCAGAGUUACCCUAAAAGCCAUUUUGUCUUAGCUGAUCAGUGGAGUGGACAUGAGUAUUUCUCCAGCCAGCCAUCAAAUAAACGUCACAUAGUGCUAGGGUAUUUUGUAUGUCAGGGUUCGUUUUUAAUCAUGCCUUCCUCAUUCUAGUGAAUUCAGUCUAUUUUAAGCAGAGGAAUUUAGUCUUGGGUAGUCAUUUAACUAACCAUCCUUUUAUGUUUCUUCUGCAGCAUUGGAAGCAAAGUUGUACUACUUUGUAGCAAAAAUGAUUACAGUCUGUGUUGUCCGUGGAGGAGUUGCCCACCAUUUUUUCUCAGAAGGGCUGUUUCAGCAAUUUGCGGGCUUCCAAAGGCCCCUUUCAGACCAGAAGUUCUGCAUGAUCACAAACUCCGGGAGCAGCUAAUCAAGGUUUGCAGAGGGCUUCAAGAUUCUGGGGCUACUGAAAGAGCUCCAGAAAAACCCAGCUGUAUUUCCUGACAUGUCCGUGUGUGAGGAGAAAGCCCUCACUGCCAGGGACAUGAGCCAGUGACCUAUUCUGCUCAGGGCAGCAAUCAGCGCGUUCUGGAGAACCAGUUGGUCUGCUUUAGGAGUGACUGGCUGAUUGACAUUAAAGAAGAGGAGGAUGGUCCACCCUCUCUCUCGAUGUUCACCUCUGGAGCCUCUGCCAUCCCUCCACUUGGCUUUUCCUGCCAGCCUGAAAUCCAGUUUCUGCAUGACACCAAGACAAUUUACCCAGAAGCCAAUACUAGUGUUGUUGUCCUGUUGUAUCUGUCGCUGCACUCCUCCUACAAGGCUGUUAGAAUAUACAUGAUGGAGGGAAUUUUGCAAGCUCCGACCUUUGGAGUUUCUUAAAUGAUCACGAAUGUGACUAUGAAAGGUUACGCUGUAAGGUGAUGACGGGUUUGCAUGUUUGUCCAGCUGUUGUUAAUGUUUUACUUAAUUUUAAGGUAAAACGUGGUUUUACAAGUCUGAAAAGUGUACCAGUGUUUAAAAAAUACUGUUCAUAUGUUUUUUACUAAAAGCCUUUAGCUGGUCCUGAGGAUAAAAUAUCAGAAGACUGUGCCAGAUGAUUCAGGUUCUGUCAUUAAACUUCUGAAAUGGUUUUAGAUUUUAACAACUUUCAGGAAGUUGACAAAUUGUUAUCCAAGACCAUCAUAUGUUCUCUUCUAGGUUUGUCUUUAUGGCAAUAAAGAAAAUACUCAAAAUUAAAGUUUGAUACAUAAAAAAAUAUUAAACUGAACUUAUCAUGGCCACUAAUGACAAAGAAAAAAUAAAUAAACAGAUAUUUUUGCCAAAAGGAGGGAGAAGUUUAACACAAGAAGAGGGCCAAAAUAAAAAUGUGUUUCUUAAAAGAAAGAGAAUGAAUAAAUUUCGUCCCACUUAAUGAUUGUGUCCCACUUGUUGAUUCUUCACGAAAACAUGCAGUUUUAUAUCUUUAUGUUUGAAGCCUGAAAUUUGGCCAAAGGUUGAAAAGUUCAAGGGGGCUAAAUACUUUCAGAAGGUUCUAUAUGUGAGAUCAUGUUGGUCCAGACAACUCCUGUAAGACAGCAGCUCCAGAUGUAAGGGAGAGGUUGAAACAUAAGAUAUGCAAACUAUAUAGAAUUUCCCAUUAGAGUCAAUAAAGAAGCUGUUUUAUAUUA